rfam:Heterocephalus glaber contig42601, whole genome shotgun sequence.
GUCUACGACCAUACCACCCUGAACAUGCCCGAUCUCUUCUGAUCUCGGAAGCUAAGCAGGGUCAGGCCUGGUUAGAACUUGGAUGGGAGAUCAUGGGACACUUACAUCCUGAUUGCUCAUGUCC